rnacentral:rRNA from 1 species
GAUGAACGCUGGCGGCGUGCCUAAUACAUGCAAGUCGAGCGAACAGACGAGGAGCUUGCUCCUCUGACGUUAGCGGCGGACGGGUGAGUAACACGUGGAUAACCUACCUAUAAGACUGGGAUAACUUCGGGAAACCGGAGCUAAUACCGGAUAAUAUAUUGAACCGCAUGGUUCAAUAGUGAAAGACGGUUUUGCUGUCACUUAUAGAUGGAUCCGCGCCGCAUUAGCUAGUUGGUAAGGUAACGGCUUACCAAGGCGACGAUGCGUAGCCGACCUGAGAGGGUGAUCGGCCACACUGGAACUGAGACACGGUCCAGACUCCUACGGGAGGCAGCAGUAGGGAAUCUUCCGCAAUGGGCGAAAGCCUGACGGAGCAACGCCGCGUGAGUGAUGAAGGUCUUCGGAUCGUAACUCUGUUAUUAGGGAAGAACAAAUGUGUAAGUAACUAUGCACGUCUUGACGGUACCUAAUCAGAAAGCCACGGCUAACUACGUG